GUCCACACCCUAAACGAUGAUAACUCGUUGUUGGCGAUACACAGUCAGCGACUAAGCGAAAGCAUUAAGUUAUCCACCUGGGGAGUACGGUCGCAAGACUGAAACUCAAAGGAAUUGACGGAGGCCCCGCACAAGCGGAGGAGCAUGUGGUUUAAUUCGAUGAUACGCGAGGAACCUUACCUGGGCUUGAAAGUUAGUGAAUGACGCAGAAACGUGUCAGCUCGAAAGAGCACGAAACUAGGUGCUGCAUGGCUGUCGU
rnacentral:rRNA from 1 species